UACGUAGGGUGCGAGCGUUGUCCGGAAUUACUGGGCGUAAAGAGCUCGUAGGCGGUUUGUCGCGUCGUCUGUGAAAUUCUGCAGCUUAACUGCAGGCGUGCAGGCGAUACGGGCAGACUUGAGUACUACAGGGGAGACUGGAAUUCCUGGUGUAGCGGUGAAAUGCGCAGAUAUCAGGAGGAACACCGAUGGCGAAGGCAGGUCUCUGGGCUGUAACUGACGCUGAGGAGCGAAAGCAUGGGGAGCGAACAGG
rnacentral:rRNA from 1 species